rnacentral:rRNA from 1 species
UACGGAGGGUGCUAGCGUUGUUCGGAAUUACUGGGCGUAAAGCGCGUGUAGGCGGCCCGCUAAGUCUGAUGUGAAAGCCCGGGGCUCACCCCCGGAAGUGCAUUGGAGACUGGCGGGCUAGAGUCCCGGAGAGGAGGGUGGAAUUCCUGGUGUAGCGGUGAAAUGCGUAGAUAUCAGGAGGAACACCGGUGGCGAAGGCGGGUCUCUGGGCCGAUACUGACGCUGAGGAGCGAAAGCGUGGGGAGCAAACAGG